GGAGAGGAGGAGGAGAGCAGGCCUUGGGUAUGUUUGGUUGUUCUUAUGCAGCGUUGCGUUCGCCGCGUAACUUGCGUUUUGUUCCUAGCCUUUAGUCCGGCUAAGAAGCUACCCGGCUUCCUCCUCGUGAUUUCAUUGCGGCUUGGGAUGUUUCGGGUUCACAAUUAGAUACUUCUGCUCCCUAGAGGAGAGACUUACCAACGAAGUAAGGAAGUACAUAAAAAAAUUGUACAAUGUAAGAGCUUGUAGCUUUAAAAAGCUACAAAAACUCGAACGUAAAAGACAAUUCGUGGAGAGAAAUUUGGAGGAGGACCCAGACAGCCGCAAAAGUGGAAGCCACUGCCAGACGAGUUUGUCAAACUUUGUUAAAAAGAACAAAACAAAAAUGAAAUCGAAGAGCAGAGACCCUGGGCUCAGAAGGACAGGCAAUUCCUGCCCGGUAUGUAAUGCCGUCCUGGCUGGAAGGAUUUAUAAAACAUCAAGGAAUCCAGAACGAUGUUGCACCUGAGGUCCUGUAGAGCAAAACUCUGGAGGAAACAUUGAAUACAGAGGUCGUCUCAUCCACACAACACCUCCACUCCAGGGACUCAAGUGAAAGCAGUGCACAGUAGUAAGGAGGAUCAACCAGCGAUGUUGGAGGAUCAACCAGUGCAUCCAUAAAGCCACAAUCCCUCAGUCAAGAAAGAGGAAGAAAAAGAAGACGACGAUGGGAGGGGUCGAGAUACUGAACAGCAUUGUGACUAUGUUAGAACAGCUUCAAAUCUAUACUACAGGGAUGUCCCAGUUGAGCCUCAUCAACAGCAGGACUUAUAUAGCCCUUUCUGACUUUCCUAGACAGUGUCUGACAAGCGAACAAGCCAGACUCACUGAAAGACUGCAUGAUGCUUAAUAACUGCAGUGAUUUACUUAACAACCAUGGCAGAACAGAACAUAAAAUCUGGGGCAAAUCACUCAAGAGCCAUCUUUGUUAGCAACUGUAGGGUCUAGGAACAGAGCCAAUGCCCCUGCUCUAUGGUAUAUUCUACUCCCAGAGGUGAGGCAGGCCCCCACUCUCCUGGCCUUCUGAAAAGGAAUUAAAACAUGGCUCUGUGGCCUUGCUUGUGGAACGCAGAGGACCACACAACCUUGGGGCUGGCUGAUGCCUCGAGAAGCUUCCCUUCAACUUUUAACUAAUUUUAACAGCAUUUAUUUGUCCUCGCCUCUUUGUAAAUCUUUAAUUUUAAAACCUUAACUUUUAUAUACUGUUUUUAUGUUUUAAUGUUUUAUUGUACAACAGAUCAGGGUCCCUAUUUGUGGGAGAUGGGCAGUUCAAAAAUGUUCCAUCUGCAUGCUUCCUGAAACUAGCCCAUCUGUGCUAAUUUCAUUCUUGAAUCAAAAACCAGUGACAUACUGUAAAGAUUGCAGGAUUAAGACUCAUAGAUUGUACUGAAUUAAAAGAAAACAGGACUCUGUCCAAAAGUAAUAUCAAAUUUCUCAGAUACGGUAUUGAGACAGGAGGACAUUUAGGAUAUGGUAUCAUAGCCUAUAUUGCCAGUUGGGCUAGCUCACGGGUGUCAAACCCGAUUGUGUCACGUGAUAUAUUGCGAUGUAUCAUGAUGUAUUUUGCCUUUGCAGAGCCGGAGUGGGUGUGGCCUGCACAUGAUGCAUCUGUCUCACAGGCUGCCAGUUUGAUACUCCUGGGCUAGGUGAUCUUUCUAUUGUUCAAUUUCAGCUAGCAACUACUCCCUAUUGAUGUAAGGUGGGACUUUUUUCAUGGUAAUUGGCAGCCAAUUUGGUUUAAUGCCAACAAUUAAGGUUAGACUUUGGUAAAAUAUCUUGGUUCUUACAACAAUGCAAGCAUGUAAGUGUUCAGAGAAAAUAAACUUAUUUCAAAAGCUAAAGUUC